AAAACCCUGAUCUAGGACAAAGGGGAAAUGAAUGGAGCCGAAGGAUCCUUCCCAGACGGUUCAAUAUUCAUAAUUGCUUUUCGCCUUUCUUAUUUUCCUUUUUUAUUUAUUUCUGUUUCGCUUAUUCUGAUCCUUCCAUCUUUUUGUUUGUCGUGGGUAUUUUCUUAGUUGACACGGUGGAACUCUUAAUUUCAAUCUUUUGUUUGAAUUCUACAGGCAUAUCGAUCUCGAAGAAACGGAGCGCCUGCCGACAUAUAAAAUCAAAGUUAUUCAUCCUCGAGGGAGCGUGUCACACACGCGCUGUCGUCACAUUUGGCAGGAACCCACGCGCACUAAGGAACAGCUCAAUUCUGCGCGUCGCCACUCACUCUCACAUACACAGGUCUACGUCAUAUUUCGGGAGACCGGGGAGGCUGUUGCUCUUUGUGGCCUGCCUCGCGCGAGAGUCGUGGUAUUGAUUGAUCCACCCGAGGAACGACGGACGGCCUGAUUGAAGCUCUUCUCAUCGUUUCUAAACAACUUUCUCUCCCUCACACGUACAUACACACACGCGCAUACAAAAUUACAAAAUUACAGAACACAUACACGACUCAGCGUUUUACUUAAAUGUAAUUCGGCAAAGUAUGUUCCUUUGUGUUGUUUUAUUUGUUACGGAAAAGAGUGGGCCUAUCAUAACAUUGAUCGACUCACUUGAGCAAUAAAGACAUAUAUGUGGGCUGCAGUAGUCCAUCUGUGCUGUUAUUCAAUCGCGCGCACACGGCAGCUCCCCACUCGUUUAGAUUUUAGAAGAAGAAUAGCCUAGCUGGAGAGAGGGGGGUGCUUUGUUCUUCGCUGUUGACUAUUUAUUGGUCAAAGAGUAGCCAGAUAUCGACCGAUCGAAACGACCUGUCUGAAGAACAGCGACUUCACUAAGCGGACUGCCAGUGCUUCCUUCACGCACUCGCCCUCGCUCCCUCUCUCACUCACAUAUUGCCGAGCGUACGCACGAGCGCGCUCACACACACAAAGAGAGGGCGUCCUCGACCUGAAUGCAACACCUCGACAUCUGCUGCUUGUGGCUGUGAUAUCAGGAACAGCGACAACUCCAGCUGUUGCGAACUACCAAGUUGUCAACUGCCACUGCUGACAGAGAGAACACACAGUUUUCCAACAUACAGAGGGAAGUACACGUCGAGAGGAACCGGGAGAGACAGGAAUGUGAUUAUACACUGAGAGCGACAGAAAGAGACAAAGACUAAAAAAAAAAAAAAAGAAUACAAGCUAACUACUAGAGGAGUAAUUCGAACGCAAUUUGUCCUGGAACAAACAAAAAGACACAUCUGACUCCACGACAAAGGAUUAAGAAGAUCAAACAAUCAUGCAGAACGGAUUCGACUACGGACCAAACGGCCUGCCCUCCCCAGGCAUCCAUGCUCAACUUAGUCCACCCAGUCAGCUGCCCCGGAUGGCGGAGGAUCAGCUGAAGACGCUGGAGAGAAAUUUCCAUAGCAACAGGAACCCCUCUGACCUUGACAUUACACUCAUUGCAGCGGAAGUUGGCUUAUCAGAGUCAGCAGUCAAGCGCUGGUUUGAGCAUAGACUUGCACGCUGGCGGCAGCAGCAAGGACUUCCGGCCAACAGCGGCUCGGUCAACGAGUGAACACUCCGCCUUCACUUCUGGUGCAAGUCUUCAACGUAGCUUAUUUUAGAAUGUGCGGAUGAUGUGAAUUUGUAGAAACCGAAAGUUAUGCCUUUCAACAUCAAAAUUCGUGCAGAUGUAAUUAAUUGUUUUCAACUGGGUUUCAAUCUCAGAUGACGCUCUGCUCUCAUGUUGAGCUUUUUCAUUUGAACAAAUUCACCUCUUCAGCCCAACUUAGUAUAAAGCUAAACUUGAAAUAUUUGGUGUUUUCAUACCUCUUUGGGGGAAACCAGCGACUACUUGAAAGUGUGAACAGCGUCUGUUUGAUCUGAUUCGGGUGUUGUGUUCGAAGCUUGAAAUUAAAUUAACUUCUGUGCUUUUUUUAAGCAUAAUUAAUUAAGUUAUCUUUGACUUAUCAACAUCGUAAACGUCCCUUUAGUUAGGUGAAAUCUUUGUUAAUUACUUUUAAUGAACUAAUGAAGGUCAUACUUAACAGUGCUGUUUAAGGCGGAGUUCAUGUUAGUUUUGAUUGAGUCUGAUAUUUGUUUGCUCUGCCACAGAAAAGAAAAGAGGUUGUGACUUCAGUUCUGUGCAAGUGGAUCACAAGAACUGAAUAGACCAGUAAGAAUAGUUUACAUAACUUUAAAUUGUUUUGUGUUUGCAGGAAAUUGUGGGGUGUAACAGUAUUAUAAUUAACAUUUCCAUUAGGAAGUGUAAGAAAACAGAGUCUGAAAUGCUGAAAUAUUGUACUAUAAUCAUAAUUAUCUCAAAGGUUUGCAUACAUCUAAUUAUGUAAAUGUUUAGAAACAUAUUUUGCAAUGCUAAGAACGAUAAGAAAAUGUCUGCUUUUGUGCUGGCGAUCUUAUUUUUUUAUAUAAAACAUGAUGGUGGACAGGUCAAUUCUGAAACGACGGUGAGCAUCAUUGAAAAAAUUGCCUUGGUUUCUGACCACUUGUAAAGAAACUUUAAGAUCCUCUUGAAGACUUUGGUUAUUUGACUUUACUGAAUUGAAAAUGUUUCGAAGUUGAAAUUUGACACCGAGACAGAAUGUUGUCUGUCAUGUUGGUCGCUAGGAGGAGAUCUUAUUUCAAUGAAAACCCUGUGUUGUUACGUAACGUGUGCACUCGGGCGUGGUUUCCAGAAGUGACAAGAAUAUACUAAGACUUGGAACAGUAAUUCAGCACUUCUUUUGUUUUAUUUCAAGAAAGAAUUGAGUAUACAUGGUCAGAACUCCUGUGUGUUUAAGUAUAUGAAGUAUUACUUUUGAAGAGAUCAUGUUGGUGCGCG